AUUGAACGCUGGCGGAAUGCUUUACACAUGCAAGUCGAACGGCAGCACGGACUUCGGUCUGGUGGCGAGUGGCGAACGGGUGAGUAACAUAUCGGAACGUAUCCAAUAAUGGGGGAUAACUAAUCGAAAGGUUGGCUAAUACCGCAUACGCCCUUCGGGGGAGAGCAGGGGAUCUUCGGACCUUGCGUUAAUGGAGCGGCUGAUAUCUGAUUAGCUAGUUGGUGAGGUAAAGGCUCACCAAGGCGACGAUCAGUAGCUGGUCUGAGAGGACGACCAGCCACACUGGAACUGAGACACGGUCCAGACUCCUACGGGAGGCAGCAGUGGGGAAUUUUGGACAAUGGGCGCAAGCCUGAUCCAGCCAUUCCGCGUGAGUGAAGAAGGCCUUCGGGUUGUAAAGCUCUUUCGCAAGGGAAGAAAACUUACUUUCUAAUAAAGAGUGAGGUUGACGGUACCUUGAUAAGAAGCACCGGCUAACUACGUGCCAGCCGCCGCCGUAA
rnacentral:rRNA from 1 species